rnacentral:lncRNA from 1 species
GGCCGAGAGCCUUGGAAUCUGAGGAGUCUGCAGCCCAUUCUUGAUACUGCUUUACUUUCCAAAAAGUUAUGACAACAAAACCACCCUGGGGCCCAGACCUGGAAGCCGUCAGCUAUGGAGGACCCUGGAAGCAGGCAGAGAAAGGUUUGGAGUUUUCAGUGCGAUGACACCAGCGUGCCUGCGGAAGUGGCUGUGUCUCCUCUUGCCUCCUUCCCCACCCAAUUCCGCCCCAGGAGCCCAGGGAUGGAGGCCCAGGAGACGGAUCCCACAAGAGCCAGCACCCACUCCACCCCAGGUAGCUGGCAGUAUCUGUCUCUUCAAUCUGACUGAUCACCCAACUUGGGGUGGGGAGCUUUGAAAAAUGUAGACUCCCAGGCCCCACCCCAGAUCCUCUGGCUGGGAUUUGCUGGGUGGUAGAAACCCAAGGAAGUUUGUGUUUUCUAGAACCCCAUAAGAUUCGGAUGCAGCCAGUGGGGGACAGGAACUUCAGCAGGGGAAGCCGCAGCCCUGGGUGUAGACCCCAUCCACUCGUGCCUGAUGCAGCCCUCCUCUCAAGGAAGGGCGAGCUCACUGAAGGGGACAGGUCACAGGUCAGCCCAAUUCACCCUGAGCACAGAAAUGCACACUGCAUUUAGGACGGCCGGAUUGCUGGACCAAACCUGUCUCUCUGUCCCCUGCACACAUAUGCACAUGCGCAUGCACAGAGACGCAUGCUGAACUUCUACGGAAGAGGAGAGCGGUAGGACCAGGCUCUCCAGGGUCCUGCCUUGGGGUCUCUCCCCACAACUGUGGCAUAAACCUCUCUCCAGAAACAGAGGGCCUGAUAACCCGUCAGCUCCCCAGAAUCCGAAUCCUAAAAGGCUCUCCCCAGGGUUCGUCCGGCUUCAGCAGAGACCCUUCCCACCCAGGCCGGAGCCCUGCAUUCAGUUGCCAGGGACACCGUGCAGUACGGCCCCCAGCAACCUGAAGACAUCAAGGUCCCAUCCCCCUGCUUCCAAGCUGCCAACCUUCCUCAUUUCCUGGGUGGUGGGUAAGGGGCAGGGGGCAUGGGGCAGAAAGAGAUCCUCCCCCUCUCUUGGGGCUUCCUCCACCAGCCCCCUCCCCACUGAAGCUCCCUUCUGAAGGAGGCUGGAGAGCUGCUGCGGAGAGAGGAGCCCAUGUGGGAUGCCCUCCCAACACACACAGGCUGAUCACCUCACCAAAUCCUUAUUAAAACCAUCCCUGUUCAAAGGCAAAAUCAGCCAACCACCAGUGUCCCUCUGACCUAAUGUCCAGCAGGGCAAGAGCUCAAUGCCUGGAUGUCACCUCCAGGGCCUCAGCAACUGUGCAUCUCUGCUCAGGCUACCAAACAAAACACCCCAGACUUCGUGGCUUAAACACAGAAAUUUAUUUUCUCAUAGUUCUUAAGGCUGGAAGGCCAAGAUCAAGGUGCUGGCAGGGUUGAUUUCCGUGGAGGGCUCCCUGCUUGGAUUGCAGACGGCUGCCUUCUGGCCGAGAGCUCACGUGACGGAGACAGCGCACUCUCUGGGGUCUCCUCCUGUGAGGACACUAAUCCUAGCAGAGCAGGGGCCCACCCUGAGAACCUCACUUAACCAUAACUAUUUCCUUAGAGGCUCCAUUUCCAAAUACAGCCACCCUGAGGGUCGGGGCUUCCACAUCUGAAUUUGGGGGAGCACAAACAUUCAGCCUGUGACAAGGAUACCAACAGAUGUCAGCCACCACAGCCAGGCCUUGUGACCCAACAGGAGGCUGCGGUGUCCCUGGGCAUCGCUGGGGCAUGUCUCAAAUGGGUCUAAACCCAGUCUCUCUGGCUGAGAGCAGAGGUCUGAGAGGCUCAAUGGCAGGAAGGAGCCCAGUUCAGUGGGGAGGCAGAGAGCACGCAGCCUCCCUCCUUGGCGGGGUUCGGAUGCUGGCCAGCCUUCAGGGCUGGCCGGCUGCUGCCCAAGGCCUCCCGCUUCUCCAGGAAGGGCCCUCCCUUGCUCUCUCCCUCUCUGCACUCACCCCUUCUCCCUCUCCCUACACGCUUUUCCACUGUGAGACUGGAACAUCAUCGGGACAGCCCAGAAUGUCCUCUUCCCCUGCAGGAGCUCAGCAAACAUCCACAGAGUGAACAUUCCAAGCAACAUAGUCCAGGAGCCACGUUCCAGCCAUGGGGCCUCUGCACUGCUGUUCUCUUCACAUGGCCUGCCCUUCCCCCAGAAAGAGAGAAGAGGCCCUCUCUGGUUGUCCCAUCAAAACUCCACCCUUCUCUCACCCUCCUCCCAGCUGUAUCCCUUCUCUGCAGCCCUAACAUGCAUUCCACUUUAUUUCCCUUGUCUACUGUCUGCCUCUCUAACUACUAAGUCAGUUCCAGCCGCUCCAGGAUUUUUGUCUUUUCAGUUUAGCCCUGGUUCCUCAGGGCCUUAGUGACUAGUGUGUAGUGCCUAGCAGCCAGUAGAUGCUCAAUAACUGCUUGCUGAUUGACUGGGGUGAGCUCCCCAUCCAUGGAGCUAUUUCAAGCCAAGCCUAGACGAUCUUUCAGGGCUAGUUCUAACCUAAGACUUGGUAGUUCCAUGACUCUCUUCCUGGCCCAGACCGAAAAGGAACUUUCAGCAGGAACCCGGGACUGGGAUCUGAGAUGGGGCUCCUUGGAGGACUCUGACUAGGAAGAGAGACGGGAGGCCGCACCAAAAACACAAGCCCUUCAUGGGUCUCCCAGGCGUAGGUCUGGGGAAUCCCCCAGGCCCCUCAGGAUCGACCCUGCUGGCCCUGGAUCUCCAGGACGCGUCCCUCUGACCUGCCUGCCCGGCCUGUGAGUCCCCGGCAGCAACCGCUGCAGACACAGGCUGCCCAGCGCCAGGGCCAGGCCGGAUUAUCAUACAUUAAGACAUAAUUACUCUGCGGAAAUUUACAAUACAAAGCGCCCUCCCCAAGUUGGCUUCAGAAGGAUUCCAAGGAUACAAAGACCUGCUGUGUCUGCCACCGACCCAAGCUGGCCCCAGCCAGAAUUUCAAAAGAAGUGGGUGGGUUAGUUUUUGGAAAAACCCCAUUCUACCCUCCAGGCAGAAGCCCCGCCCCAAGGGUAGAGCCCUCUGAUACCCCAAGCCCCACCCAGAGGGGAGGGUCCCCUCCACCCCGACCAGCGUUGCUCCUAAACCACUCGGGUUCCCCCAAGCCCAGAAGCUCCAAGCUGACACCACCAAGGUCACCCCACUUCUCCCAAGUUCUCUCUUUUUAGACUAUUUAGGCCUAAGGGCAGAAAGAACCUUAAAUCCCAAGAUGCUAGCUUUUGACCUGCAGAGAGGUGUGGCAGCCCACUGACAUUGAUUAAGCGCCUGCUGUGUGCCUGGUACUGUGCCAGCAUCAGGAUGCCACAGAGAACAAGACAAACCAGAUCGCUGUGCUGGGGGGAGCUUACAGUCCAGUUGAGGAGACGCAGUAAGAUGCUAAAAAAAAAAAAAAUGCACAUCAGGUGUGCAGGAUGGGUGAGUGACCGGGGUGCACGGUGGCCAGAGAGCCUCAAAGGUGGCAUCUGAGCAGAGGCCUGAAUGAGCAAGAGAGACUAGCCUGUGCAAAGGCCCUGAGGUGGGGCCAUGUGUGGUGAGGGGUAGUGGAGGCAGAGAAUGCUGGCUUUUACUCUCAAGAGGGUUUCCAGCAGGGAAGCUGCCUGAUUCGGGGGACACUUGGCCUGCUGUUCUGUUAGAUUCCUGCAUCUACCACCUCCUGGCCCUGGGAUGCUGGGCAAGUCAGUUAGCCCUUUAAGCUUUUGUUCCUCCCUGCAAAAUAAAAACAGUAACCACAGCUAACACACGCUUGUUGCACAGAACAAGACAGAGAAAGUCGGGAAAGGGAGGGCCAUGCAUGUGAGGGGCGGGGGAGAAGCUCUCUGAGCCUUAGCUGCCCCACAUGUGAAAUGGGAACCAGCCCCUGCCAACAGAAGGACUAAAGGCCCAGUGACUUGUGCCUCUGUCGUCUGGGGAGCCCAGGCACUUGGAGCCUGGCGUUCGGGACAGGCUGCCACCGUUAUCCAUGGCAUUCAGGUGAAAACGCUGAUGAAGGGGUAAUUUAUCCCUCCAGCCAUAAAACCUGGGGGAAGCCGCACAGCAAGCAGCUGUCCCGGUGCCGCCCUCCCAGGUGUCAGCGCACAAUAUCUGGGGCGGCUCAGGGGGUCCUGGGGAGAGGCCCUGCCAAUCUCCUCCAGCCUGCUGGGUGCCAGCCAGAGUGGAGAGCUGGGAGGGGCCGGAAUUCAACGGAAGAACUGCAGGCCUUUCAGCAGCCUCCUCGCAGGAGAACAAAGGCUGCAGCCUCCCAACACCAGGUGGCUGACAGCAAAGAAAGAGGCUCAGAGAGGGGAAGCAACUUGCCUGGAGCCACACAGCGCACAGCAGCAAGCCGGGCUCUGCAAAGGCACGGCCAUCGGGCAUCAGCACCUGUACUGCUGACUGGCUUGGAAGGCUCAGCUCAACUGAGAAAUGCAAAAUGCUGGAGCCCCUGGAGGACUGGAGUGGAAAAGGGGAAACCUGGAACCCAAGCCUUUAUCUGCCCUGCUGGGGUGGGGGACCCGGGCUUCUUCCUAAAACUCCUGGGCAAGGGUAGAAAGAAACAUCAGUUCCUGAGUCAAGGGUAGAGCCAGGCCACCCCUUCCUAGGAUGGGUGAUCAGGACCUGCCGGGUGACCCUCGACCUCUGUGCCACACUCACCCUGGGCAGGUGACUGUGCCUCUCUGGGGUCAGCCCCUCCUCUGUGAAAGGGGGAUAAUCGCAGCGCUGCCUCCUGGGCUAGUGCGAAGGAGAAAUGAGCCCAUGCAGGUACUGCAUAGAGUAGGCGCUCAAUAAGCUUCAGCUCUGGCUAGCCCAGGAUGGAGGACUCUUUGGAUGUCCUCCAGCUGCUGGGUGGGGUGGUGGGGUCCUUGUCACAGCAGACCUGCCCUGGCUGGCCCUGAAGCACUUCCUCCACCACCCUUGCAGGGACAGCAGAGAAAAACCCAAGUGCCCCGAAUGCACACCCCACUUCCCUGAGAGGACCGCGUCCUCCCUCCUCGAGGUGAUCACCACUGGGCAGGCUGGGCACCUCCACUUUCUGGGACCCCAACUUCAAGGGCAUCAGCCACCACCUACCAUGAAGAGAACCGCAGAGGAGAAGACCUGCCUCUGCCCCUGGCCGGGUGCCCAGGGACGGUCAGCUCACCUCCAGGACCCCAGCGUCCUGACUGUGAUGCCCCUGGCCGGGUGCCCGGGGAAGGUCAGCUCACCUCCAGGACCCAAGUCCUGACUGUGAUGCCCCUGGCCGGGUGCUUGGGGAUGGUCAGCUCACCUCCAGGACCUCAGCGUCCUGACUGUGAUAAUCAAGACAGGGUCACCUAAAGCCCCCAUGCAGGGCCUGCAUUCAGGGAAGGGCCUGCCUGCUCUUGUAAACCAGGCAGUGUUGCAAAACUGGGGUGGGAGAAGCUGUGAGAGCCCAGUGAUGACCCAGGGUCCCCGUGUCUAAUCCACAGGCUUUGCAGUGGCAAAGCAAGACAGAAGCACCAUGAUCCCCAAGGACACACCAGGGCAUCAGUCCCCAAGCAAGCCUGGAACCCAGAUUUGCAACCCCAGGACACAACUGCUUUUAGUCCCUCCUGGACACUUGGGAAAGAAAAGCGUUUCUAAAACUCUACAUCAAGAAUAGGUGACCCUUCAAAAAAUGCCCCGUAAUACCCAUAACAUACCCCUGCUCUUGGCAGGGCUUAGUUAGGAAGAAAGGGUCUGGGGACAGCUUCUCCCGGGAGAGCAGACAGUCAAUUCGGGACUUGCUAGAGGAAGACAUGCGGCCCAGAUGUCAGGUGAUCCGAGCUCCAGCAUCUACCCCAGGCCUCUAGCAGAGACCAAUAAGGACGUCUAGGCUCCAAAAGUGUGGAAGGGGCAGCGUUUGGCUUCCCUUCGCUUUUCAAAAGCAAGCCCACCUCUAUGCUCAUUUCAAAGUCCUUCGUUAAGAGAUAAACUAUUUCCUCGUAGAGUCUGGAAAACCCAUUUAUUUUCAAAUUCCAGUUACAUCGGAGACCAUGUCCCUUUAAAUGUGCCUUUCCCUCUGGAAUCCAAGAGACUCCGAAGCAUUUGGUAAUAUUGUGUAUUAAGGACGCACCAUAAAAAUAAAUUGCAUUGUAAAAGCUGGCCUCUUAACAGACAACCUUAGCUCCAGGGUUAAAUGUCUAAUUCCAUACUAUUACCCAGAGAGAGAUCAGAUAAAUCAAAGGGCACCGGUAUUCCUGGCCUUGCUCCUGUGGGCCUCUGGCCUGGCACAGAAUGUGUUAAGCAGGGCCCAGGAUAAGAAACCUCUUCCAGGUAAUACUCCCCCGUCACUGCUCUAACACCAGGAGCACCUUCAAAACCAAAUGCUCCCAAAGACAGCUGUCAGACACAUUAAAAAACAGGAAGGGGAAAAAAAAAAAAAAAACA